UCCACAGAGAGCAAAAAGCAGGUUACAUACAAAGGAUAAAGAAUCAGAAUGGCAUCAGGUGUCUGAACAGCAACACUGGAAGCCAGAAGGCAAUGGAACAGUGCCUUCAAAAUCCUGAGGGUGAAGAAGUUCACAUAAGCCACCUGGCUGGUCAAGGCUUCUUCCACACUGAGAUAUUUCAAACAGAUAUGUGCAUGGAGAAAGCAGUGAACAAAUUGUUACCUGAAAUGCACGUUCCCAGCUGAAGUCAAACAAGUCUUAACUCUGCCUUUCAAGAUUUUGCAACUCUGGCUCAACUCUAACAUCUUCAAGAUGCAGCAAAUUUGACUUUGAUGUGGAGAUUAGAGAUGCACUUUUCUCCUGUGUGGGCUCUGUUAUCCACAUCAGACUGCCCCUCUACAUGGAUGUAUCCUCACCCUACUCAGGCUGGGCCUCUCCACACUGGACUGACCUUUCUGUGAUGCUGUCUU